rnacentral:rRNA from 1 species
GCACAGCUUCGCAUGAAGGAGUGUGAAAAACUAAGGUGGUAUAUGAUGGAUCCGCGUCUGAUUAGCCAGUUGGUGAGGUAACGGCUCACCAAAGCGACGAUCAAUAGCCGGCCUGAGAGGGCGGACGGCCACAUUGAGACUGAGACACGGACCAAACUCCUGCGGGAGGCAGCAGUGGGGGAUAUUGCACAAUGGGGGAAACCCUGAUGCAACGACUCCGCGUGAGUGAAGAAGUAAUUCGUUACGUAAAGCUCUAUCAGCAGGGAAGAAAAUGACGGUACCUGACUAAGAAGCCCCGGCUAACUACGUGCCAGCAUCCGCGGUAAUACGUAGGGGGCAAGCGUUAUCCGGAAUUACUGGGUGUAAAGGGAGCGCAGACGGCAGUGCAAGUCUGGAGUGAAAGCCCGUGGCUUAACUACGGGACUGCUCUGGAAAC